GGAGAGGUGGCAGAGUCUGGCUUAACGCACCGCACUCGAAAUGCGGCAUACGGGCAACCGUAUCGGGGGUUCGAAUCCCUCCCUCUCCGCCA
rnacentral:tRNA from 2 species